UGAAGGAAGCCAAUUCCUGCACCAGGGUUUCCUCUUCCCUUUCCUUCCACCUCUCUUCUCGUCCUUAACUCUAGCCUGUUGCCUACCUGCCCACCACUGCUUUCGCCAUGGCCCUCAGCGGUGCCGACGUGCAAAAGCAGAUUAAGCAUAUGAUGGCUUUCAUUGAACAAGAAGCCAAUGAAGAAGCAGAAGAAAUAGAUACAAAGGCAGAAGAAGAGUUCAACAUUGAGAAAGGUCGGCUUGUGCAAACCCAAAGACUGAAGAUUAUGGAAUAUUAUGAGAAGAAAGAGAAGCAGACUGAGCAGCAGAAGAAAAUUCAGAUGUCCAAUUUGAUGAAUCAAGCAAGGCGCAAAGUGCUAAGAGCAAGAGAUGACCUUAUCACAGACCUACUAAAUGAAGCAAAACAGAGACUCAGCAAGGUGGUAAAGGAUACAACUAGGUACCAAGUGCUGCUGGAUGGACUGGUCCUCCAGGGUUUUUACCAAUUGCUAGAGCCCCGAAUGACUGUUCUUGAAGGAAACAAGAUUUACCCCUGGUAAAGGCUGCAGUGCAAAAGGCAAUCCCUAUGUACAAAAUUGCCACUAAAAACGAUGUUCAUGUCCAAAUUGAUCAGGAGUCCUACCUACCUGAGGAAAUAGCUGGUGGUGUUGAAAUCUAUAAUGGGGAUCAUAAAAUAAAGGUUUCUAAUACUCUAGAAAGCCGGCUGGACCUCAUAGCCCAGCAGAUGAUGCCAGAAGUAUGGGGAGCCUUGUUUGGUGCAAAUGCCAACAGGAAGUUUUUGGACUAGGCCUUUGGGAGUGGGAGUCCAUCCACUGCGCUACUGCUAUGAUAUGGAAGCGUCUGAUAUUU